GAAGGAGGUUUUCAUUAAAAAUCUCACGAUACAUGGCCCCAUUCAUUCUUUCCUUUACACGGAUCAGUCGUCCUGGUCUCUUUGCAGAAAAACAGCCCCAAAGCAUGAUGUUUCCACCCCCAUGCUUCACAGUAGGUAUUGUAUUCAACCUUCCUUUUCCU